rfam:Ciona savignyi cont_26075, whole genome shotgun sequence.
GCCCGAUUAGCUCAGCCGGUUGAGCGUUGGACUUUUAAUCCAACGGUCAAAGGGUCAAGUCCCUUAUCGGGCU